UACGGAGGGGGCUAGCGUUGUUCGGAAUUACUGGGCGUAAAGCGCGCGUAGGCGGACCUGCAAGUCGGGGGUGAAAGCCCGAGGCUCAACCUCGGAACUGCCUUCGAUACUGCGGGUCUCGAGUCCGGGAGAGGUGAGUGGAAUUCCUGGUGUAGCGGUGAAAUGCGCAGAUAUCAGGAAGAACACCCGUGGCGAAAGCGGCUCUCUGGGACGGUACUGACGCUGAGACGCGAAAGCGUGGGGAGCGAACAGG
rnacentral:rRNA from 1 species